rnacentral:rRNA from 1 species
UACGAAGGGGGCUAGCGUUGCUCGGAAUUACUGGGCGUAAAGGGCGCGUAGGCGGAUGUUUAAGUCAGAGGUGAAAGCCCAGGGCUCAACCUUGGAACUGCCUUUGAUACUGGACAUCUUGAGUGCGGGAGAGGAGAGUGGAAUUCCCAGUGUAGAGGUGAAAUUCGUAGAUAUUGGGAAGAACACCGGUGGCGAAGGCGGCUCUCUGGACCGUAACUGACGCUGAGGCGCGAAAGCGUGGGGAGCAAACAGG